rnacentral:rRNA from 1 species
UGGGCUUGACAUAUAGGUGAAGGGAUCCGAAAGGUGACCGUCCCUCGGGACGCUUAUACAGGUGCUGCAUGGCUGUCGUCAGCUCGUGUCGUGAGAUGUCCGGUUAAGUCCGGUAACGAGCGCAACCCUCGCCGUAUGUUACAAGUGUCAUACGGGACUGCCGGUAUAAAACCGGAGGAAGGUGAGGAUGACGUCAAGUCAGCAUGGCCUUUAUGCCCAGGGCUACACACACGCUACAAUGGUCGGUACAAUAGGUCGCAAAGCCGCGAGGUGGAGCCAAUCCCCAAAGCCGGUCUCAGUUCGGAUUGCAGGCUGCAACUCGCCUGCAUGAAGU